rnacentral:rRNA from 1 species
CGUUUAGGGGUAAACCUGAGAAACCCGAAAGGUCGAAGGGAGAAAUUCAUUCGCGUUCCGACGUCGUAGCGUGGCGGUGUCGUGCGACGGAAGUUGGCGUUUACGCGUCGAUUUUCGCGCCCGCCGUUUCGCGAACAGGCGACGGACGCGUGCACUUUUCUCCUGGUAGGACGUCGCGAUCCGUCGGGCGUCGGUCUACGGCUCGCGGUGGAGCCCGUUUGUAGUCUCCUCGCGGGAUUUGCGAACGGACCCGCGUGUCCCGGCCGGCACGCUCGACGGUAUAAUCGAGGUUCGAGACCGCUGAUGCUUUUCGAAGCUAAGCGUCCGGCUCGUGACAAGCGCGUCAGACGCGUCGGAAGACCGGACCUAGUGCCGAUCCCGACCUCUGGCGACUGUUGGUCGCGAAGUUCUCGGACAGAUCUCUAGAAACCGAUCGGCGACGCUAUAGAUUUGGGUACUUUCAGGACCCGUCUUGAAACACGGACCAAGGAGUCUAGCAUGUGCGCGAGUCAUUGGGAUCUAUACGAAACCUAAAGGCGUAAUGAAAGUAAAGGCUUUCCUAGCGAAGGCCGAGGGAAGACGGGCGGUUUUGAGCCAUUAAAAGCGGCCGCCCCGCAUUCCCGGGGCGUCUCGUUCUCAUUGCGAGAAGAGGCGCACCAAGAGCGUACACGCUGGGACCCGAAAGAUGGUGAACUAUGCCUGGUCAGGACGAAGUCAGGGGAAACCCUGAUGGAGGUCCGUAGCGAUUCUGACGUGCAAAUCGAUCGUCGGAACUGGGUAUAGGGGCGAAAGACUAAUCGAACAUC